rnacentral:rRNA from 1 species
UGGGGAAUUUUGCGCAAUGGGGGAAACCCUGACGCAGCAACGCCGCGUGAGUGAUGAAGGCCUUCGGGUUGUAAAGCUCUUUUAGUGGGGAAGAAGCCCUCCCUGGCUAAUAUCCAGGGGGUCUGACGGUACCCACAGAAAAAGUUCCGGCUAACUACGUGCCAGCAGCCGCGGUAAUACGUAGGGAGCAAGCGUUGUUCGGAAUUAUUGGGCGUAAAGAGCGCGUAGGCGGUUUGGUAAGUCUGGUGUGAAAUCCCGGAGCUUAACUCCGGAACUGCAUUGGAUACUGCCAGGCUUGAGUGUGGGAGAGGAGAGUGGAAUUCCCAGUGUAGAGGUGAAAUUCGUAGAUAUUGGGAGGAACACCCGUGGCGAAGGCGGCUCUCUGGACCACAACUGACGCUGAGGCGCGAAAGCUAGGGGAGCAAACGGG